rnacentral:rRNA from 1 species
AUGCACGCUGGCGGCGUGCCUCAUACCUGCAAGUCGAGCGAACGGACGAGAAGCUUGCUUCUCUGAUGUUAGCGGCGGACGGGUAAGUAACACGUGGAUAACCUACCUAUAAGACUGGGAUAACUUCGGGAAACCGGAGCUAAUACCGGAUAAUAUUUUGAACCGCAUGGUUCAAAAGUGAAAGACGGUCUUGCUGUCACUUAUAGAUGGAUCCGCGCUGCAUUAGCUAGUUGGUAAGGUAACGGCUUACCAAGGCAACGAUGCAUAGCCGACCUGAGAGGGUGAUCGGCCACACUGGAACUGAGACACGGUCCAGACUCCUACGGGAGGCAGCAGUAGGGAAUCUUCCGCAAUGGGCGAAAGCCUGACGGAGCAACGCCGCGUGAGUGAAGAAGGUCUUCGGAUCGUAAAACUCUGUUAUUAGGGAAGAACAUAUGUGUAAGUAACUGUGCACAUCUUGACGGUACCUAAUCAGAAAGCCACGGCUAACUACGUG